CGAUUGGACGUGGGUUUUUUUUUUUUGUUAGCGUUUUGUUGGUGGCGUAUUCUGAUUAGUGGUUACUUGGAAUUUGGGAAUUUUGAGAAUUUGUGCUGUCUUUUUGGGGUGAUUUAUUCCGUUGAGUAUUUGUUAGUACAAUUCAAUAGUUUUCAUCAGUGUACAAUUCAAUAGGUUUGGCUGCUGACUAGUUAGCAGCUAAUCCCCGCCUAGGCGCUAGGCGCCCCUUUUCCGCCCGACAACGCCCAGAGAUUUUUAGAACAUUGGUUUUCAAAUGCUAAAGUUUGCGGGUCGUUGAUUGAUUUAUUAAUGUUCUUUUGGUGUGUGAUAACCGACGGGCAAGCUAAUAAAUAGUGGCUUUUUUGUGCAGUAUAUUCUGGAAAUUUUACUUUGAUUAUGAGUAGACAAGUUAUGCAUCAAUUGUUAUUCCAAGGAGUGGAUAUACAUUGUUGGUAAUUGUGCCAAAUAUAUGUUUGAGCAUUUUAGGUUUAUGGCUCUUUUGAUUUGAGUGGGCACGGGGCAAAAAAACGAACUCUUGAUCCAUGACUUCAACCAAUAUCAGGAAGGAGCAACCGAGAUCUUUGCCAGCAUAAAACUAUAGGAGCUCCUCUUUCAAUUUGGUGAAUUAGUCAUUCUGUAGUAAGCAAUAUAUUCCAUGUUCUCCUUCUACUUGCUGAUUAUUGUGACUGUGUUCGCUUUGGGUCUCUAAAACCAACCCCUCUUUGCGCAUGGUCAAUUGGAAGUGUGUUAUGGGGAGCUGCAUGAUUGCUAAUUACUGAGUGCCUUCCGUGUUGACUUUGGGUUUGGAUUAUGAGGAGCUGCAUGAUUGCUAAUUGCCUAUACGUCCUCUAAGUGUCUGUAAGUUGUUAUGAUUUGCCUAUCAAAAAAAAAAAAUUUGUUAUGAUUUCGUUCAACGGAAGCAAUCUUAUUUGCAAGUUUUUACAGUUUCAUUUUAAGGGGUGGAAAAUAGAGUAGAAGGGAUCCUUUCAUUUGUUAGAGUGGAUUUAUAUCUUCAUGUCCUUAGCUGUCGUUUCUUUUGAGCAUGUAUUAUCACCAAAAAUGUGUAUCAGUAGAGCUGGUUUGCAUUUAAAGUUUAGUUUCAAUAGGGCUUACUGUAUUUUGUGGUUGAAUGCUGUAGAUAAAGGCAGGGUUCUUAGGUGACUUUGAAAUGUCAAAAAGGGGUACCACUUUCUCCAUUUUAUUAUAACUUGGAGUUAGGUUGGCAUGACUACUGUAUAAAUUUUACUGAGAAAAGGCCAGUCAAUUAGGCGCUUAGGGAUAGGUGUCGUGAUUUUUUUCUGCCAUUGAGCUCUAAUCUCUCUUAAGCACCUCGGCUCCUGCCAAACUUGGGAAAUUGUAUCCCCUCCCACAGCCUUAGUCCGUGCUCUUUUAUUCGCCUUAUAGGGAAAUUUGAAUAAGUUGAUAGGUUUGUGCGUGUCUGAGUUAUAUUUUGCGACAUUCAGUAUCAAAGGUGCCAAUCUGUUUCCUGUAGUUUUAGAUCCAGAUAGUUGAAACUUUUUUCAGAGGCACAUAGAUACGCAAUUGGGUUCUAAGUGUCCAGUGUCUCGUUCUUGAAAUAACAAUCGAAAGGUGAAUUGCUUCAAUCAAGAGAGGGAUUCCCUCUUUGUUAUUUUUGUGGUAUGAUAUCCUUCAAUUCACAUAAAUCAUUAUUACACCUAUUGUCUGCCGCACGUGAAAAGCCGGUACUUUGCUUACCUAGCACUUAGCGUCAUCAUUAUGUAAAGUUGGGUGUAUCUUUCAUGGCAGAACAACUGAUGGUUCUUUCAGAAAAUGAACAUAGAUAGAAGUGUGCUAGUUAGUUUUACUGGUGCUUAUAGGCUUAUGGCUUUACAGCAUUCUAAAUGAUGCCAGAAAAA